AUCAGAAUGGCCGAGUGGUUAAGGUGUUGGACUUAAGAUCCAAUGGAUGUGUGUUUGCGUGGGUUCAAACCCCACCUCUGGUA